rnacentral:rRNA from 1 species
UGAGUACAAGAUGCUACGGCAUUGAAGCAGUCUAUGUCAUACUUCCAAGAAAAGCUUGCAAUGUCAUAAACAAAUAAUGCCUGUACCAUAACCGACACAGGUGGGUAGGUAGAGUAUACUAAGGGGCGCGAGAUAACUCUCUCUAAGGAACUCGGCAAAAUGACUCCGUAACUUCGGGAGAAGGAGUACCUUAUUUUAUAAGGUUGCAAUAACAAGGUCCAAGCAACUGUUUACCAAAAACACAGGUCUCCGCUAAGUCGUAAGACGAUGUAUGGGGGCUGACGCCUGCCCAGUGCCAGAAGGUUAAAGAAGUUGGUUAGCAUUAGCGAAGCUGAUAACUGAAGCCCUGGUGAACGGCGGCCGUAACAAUAACGGUCCUAAGGUAGCGAAAUUCCUUGUCGGGUAAGUUCCGACCCGCACGAAAGGCGUAAUGAUUUGGAUACUGUCUCGGAGAGGGGCUCGGUGAAAUAGACUUGUCUGUGAAGAUGCGGACUACCUGCACCUGGACAGAAAGACCCUAUGAAGCUUUACUGUAACUUGAGAUUGAAAUUGGACUUUAUUUGCGCAGUAUAGGUGGGAGACCUCGAAAGUAUUCUUGCGGGAAUAUUGGAGUCAUCAGUGAGAUACCACUCUUAUAAUGUUAGAUUUCUAACUUUGUAUCAUUAUCUGGUCAAAGAACAGUUUCAGGCGGGCAGUUUGACUGGGGCGGUCGCCUCCCAAAUGGUAACGGAGGCGCACAAAGGUUUCCUCUGAACGUGUAGAAAUCGUAUCUAGAGUGUAAAGGCAUAAGGAAGCUUGACUGUGAGACCUACAAGUCGAGCAGGGACGAAAGUCGGUCUUAGUGAUCUGACGGUGCUGAGUGGAAAGGCCGUCACUCAACGGAUAAAAGUUACUCUAGGAUAACAGGCUGAUCUCCCCCAAGAGUUCACAUCGACGGGGAGGUUUGGCACCUCGAUGUCGGCUCAUCGCAUCCUGGGGCGGUAGUACGUCCCAAGGGUUGGGCUGUUCGCCCAUGAAAGCGGUACGCGAGCUGGGUUCAGAACGUCGUGAGACAGUUCGGUCCAUAUCCGGUGUAGGCGUUAGAAUAUUGAGAGGAGCCUUCUUUAGUACGAGAGGACCGAGAAGGACAUACCUCUGGUGUACCAGUUAUCGUGCCAACGGUAAACGCUGGGUAGCUAUGUAUGGAGAGGAUAACCGCUGAAAGCAUCUAAGUGGGAAGCCCACCUCAAGAUAAGUAUUC